rnacentral:rRNA from 1 species
GACGAACGCUGGCGGCGUGCCUAAUACAUGCAAGUCGAGCGAAGCGGCGGAUUGGUGAGUAACGCGUGGGUAACCUGCCCUUAAGUCUAGGAUACGCUUUGGACACAUAUCCUAAUACCGGAUACUACAGGAUGGUUGCGCGCUGCAUUAGCUAGUUGGUAAGGUAACGGCUUACCAAGGCAACGAGGCAUAGCCGGCCGGAGAGGGUGAUCGGCCACACUGGAACUGAGACACGGUCCAGACUCCUACGGGAGGCAGCAGUAGGGAAUCUUCCGCAAUGGGCGAAAGCCUGACGCAGCAACGCCGCGUGAGUGAUGAAGGUCUUCGGAUCGUAAAACUCUGUUAUUAGGGAAGCGGUACCCAAUCAGAAAGCCACGGCUAACUACGUGCCAGCAGCCGCGGUAAUAC